GUAAACAUAGUUUAAAUAAAACCCUAGAUUGUGAUUCUAGAAAUGAGGGAUGAUAUCCCUCUGUUCACC
rnacentral:tRNA from 1 species